AGAUAAUGAAGUAAAAGCAUUUACAAUUAGUUUCGACCUAGUAUUAGGAAGCAAUUCCCUUAUCUA
rnacentral:tRNA from 1 species